rnacentral:rRNA from 1 species
UACGUAGGGUCCGAGCGUUGCCCGGAAUUAUUGGGCGUAAAGAGCUCGUAGGCGGUUUGGCAAGUCGGGUGUGAAAUUUCGAGGCUCAACCUCGAAACGCCACUCGAUACUGCCAUGACUGGAGUCCGGUAGAGGAGUGCGGAAUUCCUGGUGUAGCGGUGAAAUGCGCAGAUAUCAGGAGGAACACCAACGGCGAAGGCAGCCCCCCUGGGCUAACACUGACGCUCAGGCACGAAAGCGUGGGGAGCAAACAGG